rnacentral:rRNA from 1 species
GCAGUCGCCACGGUAAUACAGAGGGUGCGAGCGUUAAUCGGAUUUACUGGGCGUAAAGCGUGCGUAGGCGGCUUCUUAAGUCGGAUGUGAAAUCCCUGAGCUUAACUUAGGAAUUGCAUUCGAUACUGGGAAGCUAGAGUAUGGGAGAGGAUGGUAGAAUUCCAGGUGUAGCGGUGAAAUGCGUAGAGAUCUGGAGGAAUACCGAUGGCGAAGGCAGCCAUCUGGCCUAAUACUGACGCUGAGGUACGAAAGCAUGGGGAGCAAACAGGAUUAGAUACCCGCGUAGUCCCUGUCUCUUAUAC